rnacentral:piRNA from 1 species
UGACAUAACAGUCCAAGUUGAAGGGGCAAGA